GGUAGGAUGGCCGAAGCCAGGCGGCGGGUUGUAGCCCCGUAGAUAGAGGUUUAAGUCCUCUUCCUAUCA
rnacentral:tRNA from 1 species